rnacentral:rRNA from 1 species
ACUCCUACGGGAGGCAGCAGUGGGAAUAUUGCACAAUGGGGAAAGCCCAUCGAUGCAGCCAUGCCCGCGUGUGUGAAGAAGGCCAAUUCGGGGCUUUGGUUAAAAGACACUUUCAGUAGGGAGGAAGGUAGUGUAGUUAACACCUGCAUUAUUUGACGUUACCUACAGAAGAAGCACCGGCUAACUCCGUGCCAGCAGCCGCGGUAAUACGGAGGGUGCGAGCGUUAAUCGGAAUUUACUGGGCGUAAAGCGCAUGCAGGCGGCCUGUUAAGUCAGAUGUGAAAGCC